rnacentral:rRNA from 1 species
UACGGAGGGUGCAAGCGUUGUCCGGAUUUAUUGGGUUUAAAGGGUGCGUAGGCGGCCCGUUAAGUCAGUGGUGAAAGCCUCCAGCUCAACUGGAGAACUGCCAUUGAUACUGACGGGCUUGAGUACAAGACGAGGUUGGCGGAAUUGAUUGUGUAGCGGUGAAAUGCAUAGAUACAAUCAAGAACACCGAUUGCGUAGGCAGCUAACUAGGCUGUAACUGACGCUGAGGCACGAAAGCGUGGGGAGCGAACAGG